CUCGUGCGUUAUCUCUUGGUUUGAGCUGUUGCUGGCCUCUUUAUAAGAGGCAUUGUGCACGCCCCACCACUGUUUACAACCACCUGUGCACCUCAUGUAUAGACUCUGAAUUCCUGGUGUUGCUGCGCUGCCCAAGCCAGCCUUCCCUGAAUUUCCGGGUCUAUGCGUUUUUAUUAUACCCUGUAAUGAAUGUAUCAGAGUGUUUUGUUAUUGGCCUUUGGUGCCUUUAAUCAAAUACAACUUUCAGCAACGGAUCUCUUGGCUCUCGCAUCGAUGAAGAACGCAGCGAAAUGCGAUAAGUAAUGUGAAUUGCAGAAUUCAGUGAAUCAUCGAACCUUUGAACGCACCUUGCGCUCCUUGGAAUUCUGAGGAGCAUGCCUGUUUGAGUGUCAUUAAAUUCUCAACCUAACCAGCUUUUGCGAGCUUGGUUAGGCUUGGACUGUGGGGGCUUUUGCGGGCUUCACUUUGAAGUCAGCUCCCCUAAAAUGCAUUAGUGGAAACCCUUUGUUGACCUGUUCCUGGUGUGAUAAUUAUCUACAUCGCGUGCAGUCGGCUGUUUAAUGGGCUUUUUCUGCUUCUA
rnacentral:rRNA from 1 species